GCAAAAAUCCACAAAUAUUUCCCCUCUCAAUUCGCAUACCCCCAAUUACAAACGCCUCUCUCUCUCUCACCAAAAAUCAGCGCUCUUUCACUCUGAAAAAUCCGUUGAAUCUUCCUCUCUAUCGUAUUUCUCUCUUUCACUCUGUGAACUUUGCUAUAUCGUUGGAUUUAAGGGGUUUUACAAAUAAGUUUUGCUGAUUUGGUGGACACUUCUUUGGGUAUCAUGAAUGCGGGUGGCGAAUUUUUGAGGCAUUUGAGAAUACUUCGCCAAACAGGUGCUCUCCCCAUAUCCCUAAAUCCAACACCAGUGAUUUUAACCAUGAUUUAGGAUCUUGUGAUAUUGUUGCAGCUGUUGAUGAGGUUAAUAACAUCCGAUUAAGUACUUGUUGAUAGCAACCGGUCGAGGAUUGAAUUGAUAGUGAAUUGAGAGGAAAGCAGAUCACGAAUUUAAGUAGUCAUGAAUCAGGAAGGGCGCUCAAGUAAAAAUAAAAAAGUUACAAAAAUGCAUUGCGGCUGGAUCACUUGUAUCUUUGCGAAACCUAAAGGUUUUGUCAUUGAAAACAAAAAGAGUUGUUAAAGCUACAAGGUCAAAUGAAAAGCAUCAGCUAAAUUUAAUUGACAAAAAGAGUUGAUUCCACUACUCGUACUUCACAAAUGGUACAAGAACAAUUUGAGGAUUCUUCUAAUCAUGAAACAACGAACAAUCCGAGGAACAAGGCAAGAACAUAUAAAUUUCAAUCGUCAACCAUAACAAUAAUGACUUUUGGUGAUUAUUCUUUCUUCAUAUUAAUGCAGGUCCUUCUGCCGAAAAAAGAAAAAGAGGCAGAACUCAGAUGCAAAGUGUUCAUGGUAGAAGAGAGCGAAGCAAAUUGUGCUAAAUGAGAACAAUUAACCCAUAGGUCCUACUGAUACAGCUGUAAAAGUGUUGGGUAGUUUUCUUGGAACAUUGGCAAGGAAUGCGAUCUUUUGUCCUCUUAAUGUAUUUAAUUGGAGAAAACUUGAAACAAAAGAAGAUAUGUGGAAAUAUGUCAAGGUUUGAAGUUCACAAUAUUUAAUAGGCGUGGAUGAUAUUUCAUAUCUUUUAUACUAACCUAACUAUACCAAAUUUGAAGGAAAAAUAUAACAUUCCUGAAGGUGGGAAAGCGUGGGUUUUUAAAUCAAUUCAAACUGCUUGGAGAAAGUAUAAGAAUCCGUUAAAGAAAGACCUUUUUGAACCUUAUGAAAAUGACGAGCUUCGAAUGGAGAAAAGGCCGGUUGAUGUUCCGGAUUCUCAAUUUAGAGAGCUUCUUAAAUAUUGGAACGCUGAUCCUUACAAGGUGGAGAAAAUGAUGAUAGGGAAGGCGAAGCGAUGAAGAUCUAGACUUUACAACUUUGAUUAGAAUAUUUUGUUUUUGUGGGUAUUACUACCUUGUUGGAUAAUAAAUUCAGUUUGUGAAUGUUUAUGAGUGCUUUCGUUUGAGAAUCAUAUAAAUUUUAGUGUAUU